rnacentral:rRNA from 1 species
GUCUAUGGUCAUAUCACCCUGAAUGCGCUCAAUCUCAUCUGAUCUCAGAAGCUAAGCAGGGUUGGGCCUGGUUAUUACUUGUAUGAGAGAAGUGUUACCCAAAAUU